CCUACGGGAGGCUGCAGUGGGGGAUAUUGCACAAUGGGGGGAACCCUGAUGCAGCGACGCCGCGUGGGUGAAGGAGCGUUUCGGCGCGUAAAGCUCUAUCGGCAGGGAAGAAGGAGGACGGUACCUGACUACGAAUCCUCGGCUAAAUACGUGCCAGCAGCCGCGGCAAUACGUAGGGGGCCAGCGUUAUCCGGAUUUACUGGGUGUAAAGGGGGCGGAGGCGGCAGCGCAAGCCAGGAGUGAAAGCCCGGGGCCCAACCCCGGGACUGCUCUUGGAACUGGGCGGCUGGAGUGCAGGAGGGGCAGGCGGAAUUCCUGGUGUAGCGGUGAAAUGCGUAGAUAUCAGGAAGAACACCGGUGGCGAAGGCGGGCUGCUGGACUGCGACAGACGUUGAGGCCCGAAAGCGUGGGGAGCAAACAGGAUUAGAUACCCGGGUAGUC
rnacentral:rRNA from 1 species